rnacentral:rRNA from 1 species
GGGCCCGCACAAGCGGUGGAGCAUGUGGUUUAAUUCGAUGCAACGCGAAGAACCUUACCAGGCCUUGACAUCCUCGGAACUUUCUAGAGAUAGAUUGGUGCCUUCGGGAACCGAGUGACAGGUGCUGCAUGGCUGUCGUCAGCUCGUGUCGUGAGAUGUUGGGUUAAGUCCCGUAACGAGCGCAACCCUUGUCCUUAGUUGCCAGCAUUUAGUUGGGCACUCUAGAGAGACCGCCGGUGAUAAACCGGAGGAAGGUGUGGAUGACGUCAAGUCCUCAUGGCCCUUAUGGGCUGGGCUACACACGUGCUACAAUGGCAGUGACAGAGGGACGCUACCAGGUGACUGGAUGCAAAUCUCAAAAAGCUGUCUCAGUUCGGAUUGUUGUCUGCAACUCGACAACAUG